UUGCAGGAUAGGUUACAGAUCAGCUUGUGCAGUACUGCUUUGUCAUCCCCCCUGCACAAACUUGUCUCCUGUACUAUCCUGGUCUGUCUGCAUCCCACGGCAGACAAGGAUGUUUGGUCUUAGACAU
rnacentral:snoRNA from 1 species